GAUGAACGCUGGCGGCGUGCCUAAUACAUGCAAGUCGAGCGAACAGACGAGGAGCUUGCUCCUCUGACGUUAGCGGCGGACGGGUGAGUAACACGUGGAUAACCUACCUAUAAGACUGGGAUAACUUCGGGAAACCGGAGCUAAUACCGGAUAAUAUAUUGAACCGCAUGGUUCAAUAGUGAAAGACGGUUUUGCUGGCACUUAUAGAUGGAUCCGCGCUGCAUUAGCUAGUUGGUAAGGUAACGGCUUACCAAGGCAACGAUGCGUAGCCGACCUGAGAGGGUGAUCGGCCACACUGGAACUGAGACACGGUCCAGACUCCUGCGGGAGGCCGCAGUAGGGAAUCUUCCGCAAUGGGCGAAAGCCUGACGGAGCAACGCCGCGUGAGUGAUGAAGGUCUUCGGAUCGUAAAACUCUGUUAUUAGUGAAGAACAAAUGUGUAAGUAACUAUGCCCGUCUUGACGGUACCUAAUCAGAAAGCCACGGCUAACUACGUG
rnacentral:rRNA from 1 species